CAAUCGGCUGAGGCCAUAGCCAUUACCUCACCAACUGCCCCUAGGCCCCAAUAAAACCUUUCUGCUUUGGAAACAUGCUCUCCCUGGUAUCUCACCGCUGCGUUUGUGCAGGGUACGAACUUCUCACCCAUGCGCGACAUGAGAACUGUGUGGAGUGGACCAUCGAAGGAGGCUGGAUGCUACUGGAGCAGCGAGGGGAGCACCUGGUACCUGCUUCCUUGGUAGAGACCCCUCCUACCUCUUCACAUUCUUGAGAACAUACAGAGCUUUUGCUACCACCCCGAAGGUCCUGGACAUACUGUUUAUGAGGGCCAUCUCCUCCAUCCUGGGCACCUGGCUGGAUCACUACCCCGAGGACUUUUUCCAGCCUCCAGACUUCACCAGCUUGAAGCUGCUGCGGGCGUAUGUAAGGAUCCGUCCACAUGCCGGGCUCCGAGCUGCAGCGCCGCGCCCGCCUUCUCUACUCAUGGCGGAAACACCAUGAGCCCAAUGAGCUAGAGUCUCAGGGCGAGGAGGACUCUGGGUGGGAGAUGUGGGCAUGUGGAGGGGACGGGGUAUGCCACAGAGAACGUGUUUCCUGAGACUGCAGAUGGGCCAGGCGUAGGGACUAGUCUCAGAUCACUGUUCCAUUAGCCUGCCGUCUGGGAGAUUUCCUCCUGGUGGGUUCUUUGACUCAGAUGACAAUGUCUGCGGGAGAGGUUUCCUGCCAUGGAAUGGCAAUCACGGUGAUGACACUUUCUAUUCUUGAAGCUUUGGCAGUAGCUCUAGAGCCACAUCCACACGUCCCUCGGGAGCGAGCCCCCGCUAUCCCUGUGGUGCCCACUGAAGCCUCGCAGCCCAGGCAGCCUGAAGCCACCAGUUCUCCUGGAGCUCAGCGCGUACGAGAAUCGGAGACCCUCACUACAGCGUCCCCACCAGGGCAGGAGGUACUCCCAGCUCUGGCUGACAGACAGGAGCUGGAAGAGCCACCUGCCCCUUUGGUGGCCCCAGAGCAUGAGCAGCCCUCAGCCCCAGCCGGUGGGGUCACGGAAGGGCUGGAGCAACCACCUGCUGCAGCUGAGCAACCAGCCUCAGCUCCCCAACAGCGGCUCAUGUCGGCUGCAGACCCAAAGGAUGAAUUCCCUGACCUUGUCAUGGCGUUCUUUGUCAUUUUAGUGGUGGGUAUAGAGGUAUUUACUGUCCUUAUGUAUUAUUGGUUUAUACAUAAAACAUUAAGUUCCAAACAA